AGAGAAAGACGACUAAAGUUUCUUAAACUAUCUAAUCAUAUAGUUUAUUCUCAUCGCUGUUAAUUAUAAUCACAUAAAGUGGAGUCUCAUAGCUCAGCUGGUUAGAGCGCUACACUGAUAAUGUAGAGGUCGGCAGUUCAAGUCUGCCUGAGACUACUACGUUUAGUUUAUUACUAAAUAAAAUGAGGAUUUUAGUAGCUGAGAUUGAUUCUGAAAACUCAUUAUAUUGGGGGAUUAGCUCAGCUGGCUAGAGCGCUAGAUUUGCAUUCUAGAGGUCGUGGGUUCGACUCCCACAUUCUCCACAAUCAGCUUUUUGCUGAAAACGUUCUUCGACAUAUUGAAAAAAAUACAUGAAAUUAAAAAUUUCAAAUAAUCUAAAUUUAAUUAAUUAAUUAAUUGAGUUUACGAGCAAUAUAAUUUAUAACUCAUAAAAAUACAAAAGUUAC
rnacentral:tRNA from 1 species